rnacentral:rRNA from 1 species
AAUCAACGCUGGCGGCGUGCCUAACACAUGCAAGUCGAGCGAGAAAAGGGGGGCAACUCCCUGAGUACAGCGGCGCACGGGUGAGUAACACGUGGGUAAUCUGCCCUGGAGUGGGGAACAACACCGGGAAACCGGUGCUAAUACCGCAUACGAUCACGAGGUCUGCGGAUCUCGGGAUGAAAGGAGCAAUUCGCUCUAGGAGGAGCCCGCGGCUGAUUAGCUAGUUGGUGAGGUAAUGGCUCACCAAGGCUACGAUCAGUAUCCGGUCUG